rnacentral:SRP_RNA from 1 species
GGGCGGGCCCUGUGCGAUGAGGCACCAUGAACCAUGUCAGGCGGGGAACCGAGCAGCAUUAAGUGGUAUGCUUUGUGCGCCGCAGGCCACCUGCCCUUU